rnacentral:tRNA from 1 species
GUGCCUUUAGUUCAGCGGAUAGAAUACCACCCUCCGAAGGUGGCGGCGCGGGUUCAAUUCCCGCAAGGCACA